rnacentral:rRNA from 1 species
AAUAGUUUUAGGACUAGCCUCAAGUUAGAUACCUGGAGGUAAAGCACUGAAUAGCCUAGCGGCCGAGAGGUUAGCGAAGCUUAUCAAACUCAGAAUGCCAGAGUAUUGAUGCUUGGGAGUCAGACAGUGUCAGAUAAAUGUCAUUGUCAAAAGGGAAACAGCCCAGAUCUACAGCUAAGGUCCCAAAGUCAGGUUAAGUGGAAAACGAUGUGAAGAUACGCAGACAACCAGGAUGUUGGCUCAGAAGCAGCCACUCAUUCAAAGAGUGCGUAAUAGCUCACUGGUCGAGCGUCUUUGCGCGGAGAAUUUAACGGGGCUAAACCUGACACCGAAGCUUAGGCAAUCCAGUAAUGGAUUGGGUAGGGGAGCGUUGUAUACGCGGAGAAACAGUAGCGUAAGCGGCUGUGGAGUGUAUAGAAGUGAGAAUGCCGGAAUGAGUAGCGCGAAUGCAGUGAGAAUCUGCAUGGCCGAAAGCCUCAGGUUUUUGGAGGAAGGUUCGUCCGCUCCAAGUUAGUCGGGAGCUAAGGUGAGGCCGGAAGGCGUAGCCGAUGCACAGACGGUAGAGAUUCCGUCACCACCAAAAGAGUUAAGCACAGGGACACAUUUGAAGUCUCAGAGCCGGGUGUUGGUUCCGGUAGAGAUCGAGGGAAGUUAGUACCGAAGUCUGGGAUGGAAGAUGGCGAGAAAAGCUGUGUGUAUUUCUGAGGUGCCCGUACCGCAAACCGACACAGGUAGGUAGGAAGAAGAUUCUAAGGCCAACGGGAGAAGGGUUGUUAAGGAACUCGGCAAAUUGACCCCGUAACUUCGGGAGAAGGGGUGCUCCAGAGAUGGAGCCGCAGAGAAUCGGCCCAAGCAACUGUUUACCAAAAACACAGGUUUGUGCUAAAUCGAAAGAUGACGUAUACGAGCUGACGCCUGCCCGGUGCUGGAAGGUUAAGAGGAGAUGUGCAAGCAUUGAAUCGAAGCCCCAGUGAACGGCGGCCGUAACUAUAACGGUCCUAAGGUAGCGAAAUUCCUUGUCAGGUAAGUUCUGACCCGCAUGAAAGGCGUAAUGAUUUGGGCACUGUCUCAACAGCCCGCCCGGCGAAAUUGUAGUACCGGUGAAGAUGCCGGUUACCCGCGACAAGACGGAAAGACCCCAUGGAGCUUUACUGUAGCCUAAUAUUGGGUUUCGAUGUUGCAUGCACAGGAUAGAUGGGACACAGGGAAACAGGAGCUUUGGCUUCUGCGGAGUGGCCGUUGGGAUACCAUCCUUGCGAUAUUGGAAUUCUAACCUGCA